rnacentral:rRNA from 1 species
UACGUAGGGUGCAAGCGUUAAUCGGAAUUACUGGGCGUAAAGCGUGCGCAGGCGGUUUUGUAAGUCUGUCGUGAAAUCCCCGGGCUCAACCCUGGGAAUUGCGAUGGAGACUGCAAGGCUAGAAUCUGGCAGAGGGGGGGUAGAAUUCCACGUGUAGCAGUGAAAUGCGUAGAGAUGUGGAGGAACACCGAUGGCGAAGGCAGCCUCCUGGGCCAACAC